AGGGCUGCAGGCACUCCUGGGAGCAGGAGGAGGGUGGCCUGUCCUGGGCAGACCAGCCUCUCUGGGCUGUGUGGCCCCAGCUCCCUGAGCCCAGAGGGAGGUGAGGGUGAGAAGGCCUGGACCAGGCAGGACGCAGCCCCCAGGGCCCCUGCUGGGAAGAGGUCAGAACCUCCCAAGGACCCAGAAGGCCAGAACACACUAGAGGGUCCCGGCAUCCUGAUGAGUCCACUGUCCCCGCGAUGGUUUUCAGGGAUGGAGAAGGCUCCCUGUCCUCCGCUGGAACCCUGCAGCCGGGCUGACGAGACCCCAGCGAGACCUGCAGAACAUUACAGCAGAAUGAAGGAGAGCCAGAGGAAGAGGCAGAUGUGCUGGCCUGUAAACAGUCUGAUUUCCAAUGUAAACCAGAUUCAGGCCCACGACAUCAGGUAAACAUCUGCAUCAGAGCCCCCGGCCCCCCACCGCCCGGGAGGCCCCGGGGUCCACACGGCCGACUCUGGGACCCGUCACAGUGACCGCCGAGACAUUUCGUAAUUAGGCAAAAUUGAUCCUUGCAUUCCUUCCCUAAAUCCCAAAUCUCUGCAAUUUUACUUCUUCUCAAAAAUGAAAACAUUUGGCAAUUAGCUGAUCCAAGUGAAAAAGGUAGAGAAUGUGCUCUCAACUGGAAAAUGCCAAUUAAGGAAGCAGCUCUGACUUCCCACCCGCCCUGGCUAAGCUGGGAGCUUAUCUUCCCCGAGAAGAAUCUGCUGGGAUAAGGGGGCUUGGGAAACACCGAGGGCAGGGCUGCCUCCUCACCUCCUCAGCUUCCUCUGAGAGCAGAUUAGCCGUGGCCUUGUGCCAGCAGGGCCUGGGUGCCACACCGGGUGGCAGCGGGUGGCAGAGCCGGGCCCCGCUCCGGCACUGGGAUUUGGGGUGGCGGGACCCAGUGGGGCACCCGCUUGUGGGCAGCACUGAGGGCGGUGACGUAGGCAGCGGGUGCCGGUGUCUGCCCCUCCAUCUGGCCGGGCUCCCCACCCUGCUCCUGCAGCCCUGGACCUCAGGGCCCAUUUGCGGUGCAAGGCGGCUCUUGGUCGGUCUCCACUCCUAAACAUUUAUGCGUUGAAAAUGCCCAUUUGUUUGUUUUCUUGUGUUCCAUUUAUGUGUUCUGUAUCCUUUUUUACUUAAUUUAAAUAAUUUUUAAAUGUGAAAUCGUUAAGUAACCUCAGACGCUCAAACUUUCUGUUCUCCACUCACCGAGUCCAUGAGUUCUGUCUCCUUCUUCCCGUGGUUUCUGUUUGCAACAAUAACGGAAUACCUGCAUGUCUAAUUUUUUUUUUAUUCAAAAGGCAGCAUACAAUGUAUAUUCUCUUUAUCAAGCUCGUGAUUUCUUUUAAAGAUUUUAUUUUGAAAUCAUUACAGAUUCACAGGAAGUCUCAAAACUAGUACAGAGAUUUCCACAUGCCCCUCAACCAGUUUUCCCAACGGCUUCGUCUCCCUUAGCUGGAGUGCGUGUCUAAGCCAGGAAGCUGACCGUGCUACAGUGUGUGUAUCUGGGUUUUUGCCAUGUUGUAGGAUGUGGGAAUUUGUGUACACACCACCAGGAACAGGACACAGAGCUGUCCCACUGCCACGGCCAUCUCCGGGGCUGCCUCAUCCCAGAGACUCACUGCCCAUGUCCCCGUUCCUUCCUCCUCACACCCUCUGGCCUUUUCCUAUGGCUAUAAAUUUGUCAUUUUGCAAAUGUGAUGUAAAUGGAAUGCGUGGGACCCUUUCAGAUGAGCUCUUCACUCAGGAACAUGCCCUUGAGACCAUCUAAGCUGCUUCCUGUGUCAACAGUUAGUUCCUUUUUACUGAUAAGUAGCCUCCCCUGGUAGGAAAGGACCUCUUUGUUUACCAUUCACCUACUGAAGCUUUUGACUAUUACAAAUAGCGCUGCCAUGAGCAAUCACGUAUAGGUGUUUGUGUGAACAUAAAUCUUUCUUUCUCUGGGACAAAUGCCCAGGAGUGUGACUGCUGGGUCAAAUGGUCAGAGUCUGUUUCGCUUUUUUAAGAAACUGUCAAACUCUUUUCCAUGGUGGGUGCGCCAUGUUACAUUCCACACGCAGUGAAUGUCAUACCGUUUCUCCGAAUCUCUGCCAGCAUUUGGUCUUGUUAUUAUAUUUUGCGUUAGCUGUUCUAAUAGGUACGGAGAAAUAUUGGGUCAUGGUCCCAGCCUGUGUUUCCCUGGGGCCACGCGGGUUGAAGGCCGUUUUGUGACUUCAUCUGCCAUCUCCACCUUGUCUCCAUGAUCCUUCUUUCAUUGGAUUAUUUGGCCCUGUUCCGUUGAGUUUUGAGAGUUCUUCUUAUAUUCUAGAUACGAGUCCUUUGUCAGACAUGGGUUUUGCAAACAUUUUCUCCCAGCCCACAGCUUAUCUUUUCAUCCAUCCUAACAGGAUCUUUCACGGCAUAAAAGUUUUUAAUUUCAAUGAGAUCUAAUUCAUUGAUUUAAAAUAUAUAUGAAUCAUGCUUUUGAUGUUAUAUCUAGGAAGUCCUUGCCAAGCCCCAGGUCCUGGACACUUUCUUCUAUUCUAAAAGUGUUAUUGUUUUUGAUCCAAUUUGAGUUAAUUUCCUUUAUUUUUACUUUUUUUUUUUUUUUGGGGGGGGACGGAGUCUUACUCUGUCUCCCAGGCUGGAGUUCAGUGGCGUGAUCUUGGCUCACUGCGACCUCCAACCCCCAGGUUUAAAUGAUUCUCAUGUCUCAGCCUCCCAAGUAGCUGGGAUUACAGGUGCCUGCCACCACGCCUGGAUAAUUUUUGUUUAUUAAUGUAUUUAUUUAUUUCGAGACGAGUCUCUCUCUGUUGCCCAGACUGGAGUGCAGUGGCAUGAUCUUGGCUCACUGCAACCUCUGCCUCCUGGGUUCAAGCGAUUCUCCUGCCUCAGCCUCCCAAGUAGCUGGGAUUACAGGUGCCUGCCACCACGCCCAGCUAAUUUUUGUAUUUUUCAUAGAGACAGGGUUUCACCAUGUUGGCCAGGCUGGUUUCGAACUCCCGAUCUCAAGUGAUCUGCCAGCCUCGGCCUCCCAAAGUGCUGGGAUUACAGGCAUGAGCCACUGUGCCCAGCCCCAGUUUGAGUUAAUUUUCAUAUGAACGUGUAGGUCUACGGCCAUUUUUGAACCCAUGAGUCUGCUCUAGCAUGGCUUGUUGGGAAAGCGGCUCUUCUGGCAUUGACGGCUCUUGGUCCCUUGUGGGAGGCCAGGUGGCCGUGAUCCUGGGGGUCUGCACGCCCCUUUACCUCCACUCUCUCUCUUCCCUGGGGUGACACUCUCUUUUUCAAUUUUCUAUUUUUUUAAUUUUAAUUAAUUUUUUUUUUUUUAAUUUUAGAGAUGAGGUCUCACUAUGUAGCCCAGGCAGGUCUAGAACUCUAGCCUCAAGAGAUCCUCCUUCCUCAGGCUCCCAAAGUGCUAGGAUUACAUGCAUGAGCUGCUGUGCCCACACCCACGGUGACACUCUUGAUUACGGGAGCUUUUGAGUAACUCUUAACAUUGAGGGGCACGAUUCUUCCUUUCUUCUUCUUUUAUCAUUUAGCUAUUCUAGUUCCUUUGCCCCUUUGUACACAUUUUAGAAUCAAUUUAUCUAAUAAAAAAUAUUUUUGAUAUUUUGGUGUGUUGAUUAAUAUGUAUUCCUGGUAUUUUUGAUAAAAAAUCUAUCUAGAUCAAUUUAGGAAAAACUAAAUUAAAAUAUAAAAGCACUCAAUGUAAUUUACUACAUUAAUAUAUUUAUUGAGAAAAACUAUAUAGAUGACACUCAAAACUAUUCCCUAAAACUUAGCCCCUCUGUGAAUUUUAAAGUUUUUCUUUUUCUAAACAUUAUUCCAUAAAAAGUGUGAGAAUUAAUAUUCAUACGUUUAGUCCAUUUUUCUACUGAGCUGCUAUUGAUUUGUAUAAUCAAUUUGGAUAUCAGAGAUAUUAAUUUUUAUUGUUAUAUUUGUAAGAAACAUUUUCUCUGAAUCUGUACUAUGUCAUUUUUUUACUGUGAUUUUCAAUAAAGAAGUGUUUCCUUUUGAAACAGUGA
rnacentral:lncRNA from 1 species